AAGACUACACUUUCAGGGAUCGUUUCUAUAGUUCAUUACUAGAAAAGUUUCUCUGAACAUGUAGAUCACCGGCAGAAACUGCCGGUGGU
ensembl:snoRNA U3 Small nucleolar RNA U3